rnacentral:rRNA from 1 species
ACACGUAGGGGGCUAACGUUGUUCGGAAUCAUUGGGCGUAAAGGGCGCGCAGGCGGCCGUCCAAGUCCGGGGUUAAAUGGUCGGGCUCAACCCGAUCAUGCGCUGGAAACUAGUCGGCUUUAGUGCCGGAGGAGAUGCCGGAAUUCCAGGGGUAGGGGGGAAAUCUGUAGAUAUCUGGAAGAACACCGAUGGCGAAGGCAGGCAUCUGGCCGGAGACUGACGCUGAGGCGCGAAGGCGCGGGGAGCGAACAGGUUUAGAUACCCUGGUAGUCCGCGCAGUAAACGAUGCGCACCAGGUGUCGGGCGGCAGCGCCCGGUACCGGAGCUAACGCGAUGAGUGCGCCGCCUGGGGAGUAUGCCCGCAAGGGUGAAACUCAAAUGAAUUGACGGGG